rnacentral:rRNA from 1 species
GACGAACGCUGGCGGCGUGCUUAACACAUGCAAGUCGAACGCUGAAGCUUGGUGCUUGCCCUGGGUGGAUGAGUGGCGAACGGGUGAGUAAUACGUGAGUAACCUGCCCUUGACUCUGGGAUAAGCCUGGGAAACUGGGUCUAAUACUGGAUAUGACAUGCCACUGCAUGGUGGUGUGUGGAAAGGGUUUUACUGGUUUUGGAUGGGCUCACGGCCUAUCAGCUUGUUGGUGGGGUAAUGGCCUACCAAGGCGACGACGGGUAGCCGGCCUGAGAGGGUGACCGGCCACACUGGGACUGAGACACGGCCCAGACUCCUACGGGAGGCAGCGGUGGGGAAUAUUGCACAAUGGGCGGAAGCCUGAUGCAGCGACGCCGCGUGAGGGAUGACGGCCUUCGGGUUGUAAACCUCUUUCAGCACGGAAGAAGCGAGAGUGACGGUACGUGCAGAAGAAGCGCCGGCUAACUACGUG